GACGAACGCUGGCGGCGUGCUUAACACAUGCAAGUCGAACGGAAAGGCCCUGCUUUUGUGGGGUGCUCGAGUGGCGAACGGGUGAAUAACACGUGAGUAACCUGCCCUUGACUUUGGGAUAACUUCAGGAAACUGGGGCUAUUACCGGAUAGGAGCUCCUGCUGCAUGGUGGGGGUUGGAAAGUUUCGGCGGUUGGGGAUGGACUCGCGGCUUAUCAGCUUGUUGGUGGGGUAGUGGCUUACCAAGGCUUUGACGGGUAGCCGGCCUGAGAGGGUGACCGGCCACAUUGGGACUGAGAUACGGCCCAGACUCCUACGGGAGGCAGCAGUGGGGAAUAUUGCACAAUGGGCGGAAGCCUGAUGCAGCAACGCCGCGUGCGGGAUGACGGCCUUCGGGUUGUAAACCGCUUUCGCCUGUGACGAAGCGUGAGUGACGGUAAUGGGUAAAGAAGCACCGGCUAACUACGUG
rnacentral:rRNA from 1 species